UUUGACUAUGUAGACGGAGUCUUGUCGAGGCUACCUAUUUUCUCAUCUUUUAAAUUAUUUUUUAUUGAUUGUGUAUACACGGUCUAACCUUCAUUUUUUUUAUUAUGUUGACACGGUGUAGUCGAGGUUAAGUAUUUUCACAUUUUUAAAUUAUUUUUAUUUUAUUAGUUAGACACGGCUAGACCGCCACUACUUACUUUAUUAAUUUUCCCAAUUUUUC
rnacentral:lncRNA from 1 species